GUGUUCUUCCAUUUGUUUCAUUCUAAUCUCUCUGCAUUUCUGGUGUUCACAGUCAGUAAAUACAAAAUACAGAAAAUAAGCAGAAGAUAAUUCAGAGAGAUGGCAAAGGAUGAAAUAAGAAAACAUGGAGAGAUUGAUGUAAGUCACUACAAGCGAUCAGACUACAUGUGGUCUGCUGGUAGCAUAGAGAUGUUCAUGUCUCUAACUCCAGACAGGAGAAAGCCUUGAUUUGGACAAAAAAUAGAAACUGUCUGAUGAAUGCUCAUAGCUUUCAGGUGAAAAGUAAAAGUCCUGGGCCUGAGCUCUGUUUCCUCACAUAACUCUGAUGGUGACAAGGUACAAGAAAGUCAGCUUGAGUAGUUCCUUUGUGUCAUCAUCAGUUUCAGCUGACAUCAACCACCCCUGCAACCACCCCUCCCCUGUGCACAGUCCCAUGAUCUACUGAGAGAGAGUCCAGGGAGGGAGGAAGUAGCCAAGGAUGCUGUGCUGAGGGACAAGGAGAGAAACUACGGUCAACACAAGCAUUUCUAGCCAGAGUGAAUUUCUACUUCAGGAAAAAAAAAUGCAAUAAAGGUGUUUUUGUCAU